rnacentral:ncRNA from 1 species
CUGAAAACAGGCAUGCGGGGUGGACGUAUCCCCUGGGAUAUGAGCCCAUAAUCUGCCUUGAAACGGCAGGUUCAUGCUGGAUUCAG